AUAAACCAUUAGUUGUUCCAACGGACUUACGGGCACCAACCAUUAGGGUGCCGCGGCGGUCGUGCAACCCACGGUUCAUUUCAUAAAAUAAAUAAAACGCUCAAAUAUUUAUUACGUUAAUAUUAUGUGGAAAAAACCAUUUUUUUAUGUUUGGGUUUUUUGUUAUUUUGGUCGUGCCGCCGCCGCCUGGCGAUAACGUUUUAUAUUUAGCUAGUUAUAAAUAAUAAUAUGCUGUACUAUUUUAUUGAUAAGACCAAAGUCAGACAAAAUACGUUUGGGAUUUAUUGAAAAAUGAAGAAAUAUAAUUUAUCUACUGUACAACUCUUUAUUUUAAAUCAUAUUUUUAACUAUUUAAAUUCUAUAUGGAC